rfam:Hydrogenovibrio marinus strain MH-110 scaffold00001, whole genome shotgun sequence.
CGCGGGGUGGAGCAGCUUGGUAGCUCGUCGGGCUCAUAACCCGAAGGUCGUUGGUUCAAAUCCAGCCCCCGCUA